UACGGAGGGUGCGAGCGUUAUCCGGAUUCACUGGGUUUAAAGGGUGCGUAGGUGGGAAUGUAAGUCAGUGGUGAAAUCUCCGUGCUUAACACGGAAACUGCCAUUGAUACUAUGUUUCUUGAAUUUUCUGGAGGUUAGCGGAAUAUGUCAUGUAGCGGUGAAAUGCUUAGAUAUGACAUAGAACACCGAUUGCGAAGGCAGCUAACUACAGGGAUAUUGACUCUGAGGCACGAAAGCGUGGGGAUCAAACAGG
rnacentral:rRNA from 1 species